GACGAACGCUGGCGGCGUGCUUAACACAUGCAAGUCGAACGGAAAGGCCCUGCUUUUGUGGGGUGCUCGAGUGGCGAACGGGUGAGUAACACGUGAGUAACCUGCCCUUGACUUUGGGAUAACUUCAGGAAACUGGGGCUAAUACCGGAUAGGAGCUCCUGCUGCAUGGUGGGGGUUGGAAAGUUUCGGCGGUUGGGGAUGGACUCGCGGCUUAUCAGCUUGUUGGUGGGGUAGUGGCUUACCAAGGCUUUGAAGGGUAGCCGGCCUGAGCGGGUGACCGGCCACAUUGGGACUGAGAUACGGCCCAGACUCCUACGGGAGGCAGCAGUGGGGAAUAUUGCACAAUGGGCUGAGGCCUGAUGCAGCAACGCCGCGUGCGGGAUGACGGCCUUCGGUUUGUAAACCGCUUUCGCCUGUGACGAAGCGUGAGUGACGGUAAUGGGUAAAGAAGCACCGGCUAACUACGUG
rnacentral:rRNA from 1 species